UACGUAGGGUGCGAGCGUUGUCCGGAAUUAUUGGGCGUAAAGAGCUCGUAGGCGGUGUGUCGCGUCGGUCGUGAAAACUUGGGGCUUAACCCUGAGCUUGCGGUCGAUACGGGCAUCACUGGAGUUCGGCAGGGGAGACUGGAAUUCCUGGUGUAGCGGUGAAAUGCGCAGAUAUCAGGAGGAACACCGGUGGCGAAGGCGGGUCUCUGGGCCGAUACUGACGCUGAGGAGCGAAAAGCGUGGGGGAGCGAACAGG
rnacentral:rRNA from 1 species